UGAACUCACAGAGAUCCGCCUGCCUCUGCCUCCGAGUGCUGGGAUUAACGGCGUGCAUCACCAACACCUGGCUCUUGUUGACUCCUAAUGAGGUGGUAGGAGUUCCUCAGGUAGGCCUGGGUUUAGGAAAGGACUUAGUCAGAUGUUAGGAAAAACCAAGAAAUUGAUAAAUCUCAAUAAAUAAAUAGAUAAAUAGAGAAAGAAAAGUCAGUAGCUCAUAUACAGCAUGCAGGGAGGUGGGGCGUAUUUGGAGGGGUUCUAUUUUUUCCUUUGUGUGUAUGUUCCCAUUUGUUUGUGUGACUGGGGACAUCUGUGCUGCCAUGGUUACGUGUAUAGGGGUCAGAAGACAGCCUCAGGUGUCAGUCACCUUGUGCUAUUUGUACUCACCAGCCUGAUUGGCCCAAGAGCCUCUGGGGAUUCUCCCUGCUGCUCCUGUCACACCCCUAAGAAAGCUUGGCCCAACUUUCCUGGGUUCUGGGGGUUUGAAUCUAGACCCUCACACCAGGGCACAUGCAUUACUCACUGGGCCUUCUCUGCAGCCCCUCCACCUUUGGGUUUCUGUUGGUGGCUUGUCUAGCUUAUGCUCCUCUUGUGGACUUUGCAGGGUGUUGUUUUCUGUUUUUCUUUCUCAUAUUUUACUUAUCUGCCUUCUCAUGUAUUAGUGGAGUUUUUUGUUGUUGUUUUGUUUUGUUUUUCGUUUUUCUGAAGUAGGGUUUCACAAUGCAGUCCUGGUUGGCUUGGAGCUUGCUAUGUGACCGGGCUGGCCUUGAACUCACAGCAAUUCUCCUGCUUCUGUCUCCCAAAUGCUGGGACUAAUAGUGUGUGCUAUCAUGCCUGGCUAAUGGAAUCGUUUUUUGAACAUUUUCUUCUAUCUCCUCUUUUGACAGUUUUGUUUAUUUGAGACAAGGUCUCAGCUCAAGCUAGCCACAAACUUGGUGAUCCCAAAGGCUGUGAAUUCAUGUGUGUAAUAGCCACGUCUUCUCCAGAAGACAACAUUUCACACUCUCCCCGUCCUCCAAGGCUUGCGUCCUUUCCAUCCCUCUUCUGAGAUGUUCCCUGAGCCUUCUGGGGUGGGUUGAAAGGGUUCUAAAGUUGGCUGCAAUGUCAGACAGAGUGAAUGUUCUGUGAAUUCUACACUUUA